rnacentral:rRNA from 1 species
GUAGGUGGCAAGCGUUGUCCGGAAUUAUUGGGCGUAAAGCGCGCGCAGGCGGUUCUUUAAGUCUGAUGUGAAAGCCCACGGGCUCAACCGUGGAGGGUCAUUGGAAACUGGAGAACUUGAGUACAGAAGAGGAAAGCGGAAUUCCACGUGUAGCGGUGAAAUGCGUAGAGAUGUGGAGGAACACCAGUGGCGAAGGCGGCUUUCUGGUCUGUAACUGACGCUGAGGCGCGAAAGCGUGGGGAGCAAACAGGAUUAGAUACCCUGGUAGUCCACGCCGUAAACGAUGAGUGCUAAGUGUUAGGGGGUUUCCGCCCCUUACGUGCUGCAGCUAACGCAUUAAGCACUCCGCCUGGGGAGUACGGCCGCAAGGCUG